rnacentral:misc_RNA from 1 species
AAUCCUCAACCCCAUCUCCCUUGUGGUGAUUAGGUGUUGGACGUGGAAGCUGCUGGCUUGUCUUGAGUCGGCUCUUCUGAAAUAGAUUAGCAGGGCCACGCUGUGCGGCUUGGUAUUGAUAGUUGUCUUACCAGGUAGCUGAAAGCAUGUUAGUCCAGCUUCAAGCCGUCUCUUUGGAGACAACAUUGACG